UUUUGUGAGAACAACCUGGGAUGAUGUAUGUCCAGGGCCUGCCCAGAAAGGGACAGGACAGAACUGUUUCAGUCUGCCUCCAGCCUGCUGUGGGAGGCAGAAGGUGCAUGGGGGGCAAAGUCUCCACGUCCCAUUUCUGCUCCUUUGGCCCUGGCACGAAGGGAACCCUAAGUCAGCCCAAGUGAGUUAAAGAUUGGCCAGGUGUGCGUGAGAAGCUCAGGCCAACUUCUGACCACAGGGAGCCAGCCAGGGCAGUGACCUAGGGUGACCGCCGCUGGGCCUUGACUGAGUCUUGGAUGGGCAAAGUAUGGUAGUGUCUGUUUGUUGCUUGUUGGGGGUCUUUACAAGGGGACAACAGAGGAUGAGAUGGUUGGAUGGUAUCAUCGACUCAAUGGACGUGGAAACACUGGCGCAUCGGAUGGGAAGAGAGGGCUCUGGAACUACAGAUAUGAGCAUGGUGAGUGCGCCUCCCCCAGGGCCCCAUGAAGACAGGGGACAGCCUGGGCCUUUGUUCCCUAAUGUUUUUGCAAUAUUUUUGUUGGACUACUUGCCUUUUGUGUUCUUAAUUGAUAGGCCAUUUUUGGAACAGUUUUAAAGUACUGAGAGUGCCCGUGUACCUGCCUUCCCUGCUCCCAGUUUCCCCUGUUACUAACAUCUUGUAUUACUUGCAAUAAUCGUAAUCAUUUUACAAUUAGUGAAUCAGUAUUGAUACAUUUCUAGUAACUAAAAUCCAUAGUUUACAACAGUUUACAACUAUGUUGUACAUAGUUUACAACAAAGUUGUACUUUCUUUGGGUCAAGACAAAUGCCGUGUACCCACCGUUAUGGCACUGACAGAAUCGUUUCACUGCCCUAAAACCGCUCUGUGCUCCUCCUGUUCAUCUCCCCCUCCUCCCGGCCACCUUCUUAUCCUUGAACUUGUGGCAACCACUAAUCUGCUACUGUCUCCAUUGUUUUACUUUUUUCAGAAUGUCAUAUAGUUGGAUUCAUAACAAUGGUAACCUUUUCAGAUUGGCUUCUUUCAGUUAGCAAUAUGUGUUUAAAGUUCCUCCGUGUCUUUUCAUGGCUUUUAUCCUUGUUUCCUUUUAUUGAACACAAUACUUUAUUAUGUUUUACUUGCCUUUAAAACCGUAGUAAAAUAUGCACAACAAAAUUUACCAUUUUAACUAUUUGUGUGUCAAUCAGUGGCAUUAAGUAUAUUCACGAUGCAACUAUUACUACUAUUCAUUUCUAGAAUUUUUCAUCAUCCCAAACAGAAACUCUGCAGUUGUUAAACAGUAACUCUCCAUUCUUCCCUUCCCAACCCCUUCCCCAGCCCUUGGUGACCUCUAAAAUUCUUUCUCUAUAAAUUUGCCUAAUCUAGAUACCUCACGUCGGAGAAGGCAAUGGCACCCCACUCCAGUACUCUUGCUUGGAAAAUCCCAUGGACGGAGGAGCCUGGUGGGCUGCAGUCCAUGGGGUCGCUAAGAGUCAGACAUGACUGAGCGACUUCACUUUCACUUUUCACUUUCAUGCAUUGGAGAAGGAAAUGGCAACUCACUCCAGUGUUCUUGCCUGGAGAAUCCCAGGGAUGGCGGAGCCUGGUGGCUGCCGUC
rnacentral:lncRNA from 2 species